UGAACACUUGAAAUCAGAAUGGCUCAGGAUACCCUAGUCAGCCAUUGAUAAAAAUAAUGUAGUUUAGGUUUUCCUUCUAUAUGCUGAAUCUAAAGAUAUUAAUGAAUGAUGGGCUAGAUUAAUAAAGGAAAUUAACCCUACAUUUGCACAAUUCAGAAGGAUUCUCUUUUCCUCAGUGUGUGACUGAGACUCUGACCUGGGUGCUGUUCAUCAGUGACUCAACCACGGACCAGAUACUGGCCUUUACAGGAAAAGGACAGAUGGACUGAAAAGCUAACCUGAGUCAACUCUGGUCCAUCUGAAAAUGCAACAAACAUCUAGAAGAAAUUAGAUCUGAUUUCCAAGAAGAAAAAAAGAAGAAAAACAAAAAAAACAUGCUUUCCUAUGUAC
rnacentral:lncRNA from 1 species